rnacentral:rRNA from 1 species
UCUUGGUCAUUUAGAGGAAGUAAAAGUCGUAACAAGGUAUCUGUAGGUGAACCUGCAGAUGGAUCAUCUUGAUAUAACUCGGCGCAGCUUCGGCUCGCCGCGAGGUGUGGCUCCGCACCUGUCCAACUAAACCGGGCUACCACAUACACACGGUUGCAUCGGUCGGCUGUCAAUUAGUGCGAGGUCUCCUCGCGCUGAGAGGCGCCCGACGACAAUUUAACAAACACUGAUGAUAAUUAGGAUUUGGACGUCUUUGAUUGAAACGGCUGGUAAUGCGGUCGUAUAAUCUAGAAAUAACUUUUGGCAACGGAUCUCUUGGUUCUCCCAUCGAUGAAGAACGCAGCGAAACGCGAUAGGUAAUGUGAAUUGCAGAAUGUGAAUCAUCGAAUCUUUGAACGCACCUUGCGCUCUCCUGGACUUUCAUCCGGAGAGCAUGCCUGUCUGAGGGCCGCGAAUUUCUUCGAGCGACAGCUUUUUCACAAAGGGCUGGCGGAUCGGGUUUGAGGGCUUGCCAUUUGCACUGGCUCCCUCUAAAUGCAUUAGCUGGAUUGCAGAUCGAGGAUGGGAGGAUAUACGUCCCUCUCCCUUCGGAUUUUGAUAAUUAUCAAGAGACGAGGGUGAUGGAAACUCCCCCGACCUCGGACUGUAUUGGUCUGGCUUCUCAAACCCGCCCAUGACCUGAACCCCUUGUGGGGGAUGGUGUAGGGAUUUUUUAAUUCAAACAGCCUCAGAUCAGGUAGGACUACCCGCUGAACUUAAGCAUAUCAAUAAGCGGAGGA